rnacentral:rRNA from 1 species
GUGGGGAAUAUUGGACAAUGGGGGGAACCCUGAUCCAGCCAUGCCGCGUGUGUGAAGAAGGCCUUUUGGUUGUAAAGCACUUUAAGUGGGGAGGAGGCUUACCUGGUUAAUACCUGGGCUAAGUGGACGUUACCCACAGAAUAAGCACCGGCUAACUCUGUGCCAGCAGCCGCGGUAAUACAGAGGGUGCAAGCGUUAAUAGGAUUUACUGGGCGUAAAGCGCGCGUAGGUGGUUAAUUAAGUCAAAUGUGAAAUCCCCGAGCUUAACUUGGGAAUUGCAUGCGAUACUGGUUGGCUAGAGUAUGGGAGAGGAUGGUAGAAUUCCAGGUGUAGCGGUGAAAUGCGUAGAGAUCUGGAGGAAUACCGAUGGCGAAGGCAGCCAUCUGGACUAAUACUGACACUGAGGUGCGAAAGCAUGGGGAGCAAACAGGAUUAGAUACCCCGGUAGUCC